rnacentral:lncRNA from 1 species
AUCCUCUGAGUCAGUGGGAUUGAUUUGCGAAAUUAUUGAGACUUAUUAAACAAUUAGCAUAGGAGUGUAAAUAUCAUAGUAGUACAACUCCAAAUUCAGAAUUACAACAAAUGAUACAAACUACAUGUAUGGAAUACAAAUAAUCAUUUGAAAGUGUUGGUUCUGAGCAAAGCAGCAGGUAAGACAUUUCUGAGCUUCUUUCUGAUGAAAAUUUGAAGAGCUGAGCCUACCAAUGGCCAACUUGUCACAAUGGCAAUGUAAGCAAGCAACCACAUAGACCACCUAUUCUGUCGAGAUAGCAGAUUUAAGCAGCUUCGAACAGGAGAAAUUACAUCAUGGUGCUCAGCAUCCUUGCAGGUUUCUGCAAUGUCCGGCAAAGCAUCACCCUUAGCUCCUCUCAGGUGCCCAUCUUGUUCUACAUCGGAGAUUAUUAUGCUAUCUUUUUCAUCAUGAAUCUUCUGAAGAUCAGAUAAUUCCUCGACCAUAUCAUCUCCAUUUUGUUCGUUGCACAUUGCAGACACCAUUCCAUCUGCAACAUUUACAUAUGGACCCUGAUCAAUUGCAGAGUCCAAUGAAGAAUGUGGGCCAGAAUUCUGCAUCUUCUUUUGUACAUGCAUAUACGGGCUAGAGUGUAGAACAUCAAGAAAUUCCUCAACUGCCCUUACCCACCACAGGCCAGAUGCAGUAAUUCCUUCAAAGAAUGCCAAAUGUCCUCCAUGCUUUACUGUAGCCAACACAACAUUUUUAUUUGCCCUGCAUUCGUCCCAAGGAAUUGCUUCCUUUGUACAGACUGGAUCAUCCAAAGCACUGAUACAUAGUAGUGGUAUUGACACAUUUCCCACAUAACUAGCACUACUACAGCGCCUGUAGUAUGUAUCCACAGUCUCAAAUUUUCCAACGAGGCAGGUGGCAUGGUUGUCAAAAUCUCGAAUAGAACGUGACUUUUCUAUGCCUUCCCAGUUAGCAAGGCGAGAAUAGCGAGGCUGGUGUCUGCACAGAAUAUUUAGAAUUUCUCAUAUGAUAUCCAGCGGCCAAAAAUGGAGGGAUGCCAUUUUUAGUGACACCAAACUUUGAGAUAUUCCCAAAAACACACACACACACACACAUUUAGAAGUGUAUAUAUAAAGUGGAAAAAUUCAGAGUUUUACCAUCCAGAUAUAAUUAUUUAGAUUUUGUUUCCCAUACACAAUUAAGUAGUUAGCACAUACAUACAAUUGUGCAUAACCUUGAAGACCAAUAGUAAGAGCUCUGUCAUAGAGCUUUUGCACUAGCCUGCGGCUUAUAAAUCUGUCACCAAGCUAUGGAGGGAAAAGUACAUAGAUCUGGUUAGUUAAUAAAGAAUAACUGCCAAUAAGAACAAAUGCCAAAAUCAAAUUAUACAAUUUCGAGUUCUUAGUUAAAUAAAAUGAGCUGCAAAAUUUACUCUAGGUAAUGAAUAUUGGACAAAAUGAGAGAUCUAAAAAAAGGAGAACAAAUAACAAGAAAAGCUAUCCCUAAUAACUAAUUUUUCUUUUUUGUUCUUUCUUGCUUAGGAUAUAUAAUUUACC